GCUCCCACGAGCCACCUGUAGUUCAGCCGGUAGAACAUCCGACCGGCGUGUGCGGAAGGUCAUAGGUUGGACUCCUGUUGGGAGAA